rnacentral:rRNA from 1 species
GACGAACGCUGGCGGCGUGCUUAACACAUGCAAGUCGAACGGAAAGGCCCUGCUUUUGUGGAGUGCUCGAGUGGCGAACGGGUGAGUAACACGUGAGUAACCUGCCCUUGACUUUGGGAUAACUUCAGGAAACUGGGGCUAAUACCGGAUAGGAGCUCCUGCUGCAUGGUGGGGGUUGGAAAGUUUCGGCGGUUGGGGAUGGACUCGCGGCUUAUCAGCUUGUUGGUGGGGUAGUGGCUUACCAAGGCUUUGACGGGUAGCCGGCCUGAGAGGGUGACCGGCCACAUUGGGACUGAGAUACGGCCCAGACUCCUACGGGAGGCAGCAGUGGGGAAUAUUGCACAAUGGGCGGAAGCCUGAUGCAGCAACGCCGCGUGCGGGAUGACGGCCUUCGGGUUGUAAACCGCUUUCGCCUGUGACGAAGCGUGAGUGACGGUAAUGGGUAAAGAAGCACCGGCUAACUACGCG